GAGAGAGUUGUAUGAAGAAUCACUUUUAAGUAAUGGAGGGUUUAGGUUUAUGUAUUGCUUUUGUUGUAUUUGACUGUUUUCAUGUCAUUUUUAACCAAAUUGUUUUUCACUUGCCAUGCACUCUCCAUUUCAUUUAAGAGAUGUAGUAUCUGUUAUCAUACAGGGGUAUAUGCUGCUUGUUUCAUGAGGGGUGCGAUCAGGAGCUUGGCAAUGAAGAUUUCUCUUUGAGGAAACAGCAGCAAGAAUAAUUUUGAUGAGGGAGCCCUGUUUCUGUUGCAUAGCUUUGAUCAGGGAUAUCUGGUCUAAUCAUUUUGCAACUAUGCUUCCGAUACUGCUGAAAGUUUCAACGAUCUAGAGCAAGCCUUGUGCAGCCCUUGAAGAUGAACCUGAGUGCAGUGCCCAUGAAUUUGCGAGUUUGCUAAAUGCAGUGCACAUAUACUAGGUGUAAAGGUAUACGGUAGUGGACAUUUUAAACAACUUCAACGUAAUUGUUUUAAUCCC